rnacentral:rRNA from 1 species
CGGUGAGUAACGCGUAUCCAACCUUCCCAUUACUGUGGGAUAACCUGCCGAAAGGCAGACUAAUACCGCAUAGUCUUCGAUGACGGCAUCAGAUUUGAAGUAAAGAUUUAUCGGUAAUGGAUGGGGAUGCGUCUGAUUAGCUUGUUGGCGGGGUAACGGCCCACCAAGGCGACGAUCAGUAGGGGUUCUGAGAGGAAGGUCCCCCACAUUGGAACUGAGACACGGUCCAAACUCCUACGGGAGGCAGCAGUGAGGAAUAUUGGUCAAUGGACGGAAGUCUGAACCAGCCAAGUAGCGUGCAGGAUGACGGCCCUAUGGGUUGUAAACUGCUUUUGUAUGGGGAUAAAGUUAGGGACGUGUCCCUAUUUGCAGGUACCAUACGAAUAAGGACCGGCUAAUUCCGUGCCAGCAGCCGCGGUAAUACGGAAGGUCCAGGCGUUAUCCGGAUUUAUUGGGUUUAAAGGGAGCGUAGGCUGGAGAUUAAGUGUGUUGUGAAAUGUAGACGCUCAACGUCUGAAUUGCAGCGCAUACUGGUUUCCUUGAGUACGCACAACGUUGGCGGAAUUCGUCGUGUAGCGGUGAAAUGCUUAGAUAUGACGAAGAACUCCGAUUGCGAAGGCAGCUGACGGGAGCGCAACUGACGCUUAAGCUCGAAGGUGCGGGUAUCAAACAGGAUUAGAUACCCUGGUAGUCCGCACAGUAAACGAUGGAUGCCCGCUGUUGGUACCUGGUAUCAGCGGCUAAGCGAAAGCAUUAAGCAUCCCACCUGGGGAGUACGCCGGCAACGGUGAAACUCAAAGGAAUUGACGG